rnacentral:rRNA from 1 species
AUACGGAGGGUGCGAGCGUUGUUCGGAAUCAUUGGGCGUAAAGAGCGUGUAGGCGGCGGGGUGUGUCUGAUGUGAAAGCCCGGAGCUCAACUCCGGAAGUGCAUUGGAAACUGCCUCGCUUGAGUCCCGGAGAGGGUAGUGGAAUUCCUGGUGUAGAGGUGAAAUGCGUAGAUAUCAGGAGGAACACCGGUGGCGAAGGCGACUACCUGGACGGAGACUGACGCUGAGACGCGAAAGCGUGGGGAGCAAACAGGAUUAGAAACCCCAGUAGUCC